AACCAUUCUCACCUGCGGCUAGACCUGCGGAGGGAUCAUUACUGAGUCACGUGCUCAAACAACCCUUCUGUGGACCUGAAAUAAAACCGUUGCCUCGGCGGGCGGUCCCCCCCAAACCAACCCCACGUGGUGGGUUAGGGGAGACCAGACAGUCCGGUACGCUUAAGGCGUCCGGCGCCAGCCGCUGGCCCCAAACAAUUAAACUCUAGUAAUCUUUACCUUCUGAACUUCAAUAUUUAA
rnacentral:misc_RNA from 1 species